rnacentral:lncRNA from 1 species
ACGAGUGCGCUCAGGGUGUGCUGCACGUGAGCAGUGAAGUUGAUUCCACACACUGCCCUGCUCGGCAGCUGUCCCAGAACUGACCACGGACCCCUCCGCGGGUCCUGCUGCUGACAAGGGCCUUCCGGUACUGGGAGUUUUGUGUUAGUGGAAAGGAAGAAUCUAAUAAUACCACCACCUUUACAGUAAAGACGCUGCGAAUUGACACCUUUUAUAAUAAAGACACUUAUCUUGCCCAAGAGCUGGGCAGGCUGAUUGGCGCUGGUUUCCAUCUGUCAGAUUGGAUAGCAGUACCACUGGCUGUUGGGGGCUCACGACCAGAUAGAGUCUUGUCUGGGAACCACAAGUGAGUGUUGUUACCACAGCUCUGCAGCAGUGAGGGCACCUCUCAAUCCACGUGCAGUCGCCCCACCUUAUCUUCAGGGGAUACGGUCCAACACCCUCAAUGGAUGCCUGAAAUCAAGGAUAGUAGUGAACACUAUAUACACUGUUUUCUUAUGCAUCCAUCCAUAUCUACGAUAA